rnacentral:siRNA from 1 species
GAGUAAGUGCUUGGUUGAUUCUGC